rnacentral:rRNA from 1 species
ACAGUAGUCGCCCGGGUUGCCGCAAGGCCUCCCGGGUAACCUACCACCCUUUGUUUAUUACACUUUGUUGCUUUGGCAAGCCUGCCCUCGGGCUGCUGGCUCCGGCCGGCGAGCGCUUGCCAGAGGACCUAAACUCUGUUUGUCUAUACUGUCUGAGUACUAUAUAAUAGUUAAAACUUUCAACAACGGAUCUCUUGGUUCUGGCAUCGAUGAAGAAUGCAGCGAAAUGCGAUAAGUAAUGUGAAUUGCAGAAUUCAGUGAAUCAUCGAAUCUUUGAACGCACAUUGCGCCCCCUGGUAUUCCGGGGGGCAUGCCUGUCCGAGCGUCAUUACAACCCUCAAGCUCAGCUUGGUGUUGGGCCCCGCCGCCCCGGCGGGCCCUAAAGUCAGUGGCGGUGCCGUCCGGCUCCGAGCGUAGUAAUUCUUCUCGCUCUGGAGGUCCGGUCGUGUGCUCGCCAGCAACCCCCAAUUUUUUUCAGGUUGACCUCGGAUCAGGUAGGGAUACCCGCUGAACUUAA